UGAGUGCGAGCGGCUACGGCCGCGAAGUGGGUGAUGUCAAGCUUCUAAGAAAAGCCCUAUACCCGUUAAGGCAUGAUGGCCUGUACCCGAAACCGACACAGGUGGGGUGGUAGAGAAUACCGAGGGGCGCGAGGUAACUCUCUCUAAGGAACUCGGCAAAAUGGCCCCGUAACUUCGGGAGAAGGGGUGCCACCGCAAGGUGGUCGCAGUGAAGAGGCCCAGGCGACUGUUUACCAAAAACACAGGUCUCCGCUAAGUCGCAAGACGAUGUAUGGGGGCUGACGCCUGCCCAGUGCCGGAAGGUUAAGGAAGCUGGUCAGCGCAAGCGAAGCUGGCGACUGAAGCCCCGGUGAACGGCGGCCGUAACGAUAACGGUCCUAAGGUAGCGAAAUUCCUUGUCGGGUAAGUUCCGACCCGCACGAAAGGCGUAACGAUCUGGGCGCUGUCUCGGAGAGAGGCUCGGCGAAAUAGAAUUGUCUGUGAAGAUGCGGACUACGUGCACCCGGACAGAAAGACCCUAUGAAGCUUUACUGUAGCUUGGUAUUGUGCCCGGGCUCUGAAUGCGCAGGAUAGGUGGGAGGCUUUGAUCCAUGGCUUGCGGGUCAUGGUGAGCCAACGGUGAGAUACCACUCUUUCAGAGCUAGGGUUCUAACGGUCACCCGUCAUCCGGGGACCGGACAGUAUCAGGUGGGCAGUUUGACUGGGGCGGUCGCCUCCUAAAAGGUAACGGAGGCGCGCAAAGGUUUGCUCAGGCUGGUUGGAAAUCAGCCGACGAGUGCAAAAGCAGAAGCAAGCUUGACUGUGAGACCUACAAGUCGAACAGGGACGAAAGUCGGCUUUAGUGAUCCGACGGUUCUGAGUGGAAGGGCCGUCGCUCGACGGAUAAAAGUUACUCUAAGGAUAACAGGCUGAUCUCCCCCAAGAGUUCACAUCGACGGGGAGGUUUGGCACCUCGAUGUCGGCUCAUCGCAACCUGGGGCUGAAGUCGGUCCCAAGGGUUGGGCUGUUCGCCCAUUAAAGCGGUACGCGAGCUGGGUUCAGAACGUCGUGAGACAGUUCGGUCCAUAUCCGGUGCACGCGCAGGAACAUUGAGAGGAUUUCUCCCUACGAGAGGACCGGGAGGAACGCACCUCUGGUGUGCCAGUUAUCGUGCCAACGGUAAACGCUGGGUAGCCAUGUGCGGAGUGGAUAACCGCUGAAAGCAUCUAAGUGGGAAGCCCACCUCAAGAUGAGUGUUCCCAUGGCAUAAGCCAGUAAGGUCACGGGAAGAACACCCGUUGAUAGGCUCUACGUGGAAGCCGGGUAACCGGUGAAGCGGAGGAGUACUAAUAGACCGAGGGCUUGAC
rnacentral:rRNA from 1 species